AGCAAAAGAAAAUAAGGAGGGGACCGGGAGGUUCUCUUAGCAGAAAAGAAGGUUCGUGUGGUUUUGCAACACAGGGGUGAAGCCCUGAAACUGGCCGAGUGCACAGGGAUGUGAGCAGGAGGCCAGCCCAGCCUUGCGCGGAGCAGAGACAGUUGCCUGUGGUGUGAGCGUGCAGAGUGGUGGUUUGACCAAAGUUGUCCCUGUGGCCUCGGGAUUGGAUCUAUCCAUUGGAGCCUGGUGAUUUCACCAGACAGCCUGACUGUAAGGAAUUUGGGAAUCCCAAAUAUUCCCCCUCAAUGACGCUUCCUUGCCUUUUGCACUAUAUUGUAAAAAUCAGGGAACCUCUGCUGCUCCAAAACCAGCCUGUUUCCUUCUGCCUCUCCCUGUGUGGAACUUUCUUUGGAAUAUGGAUGGAACUAUUUAUUUAUAUGUUUAUGCUUAUACAUAUUUAUACAUAUGUUUCUGAACUUUAGCUGGAGUAUGCUCUGUCCUUAGAUCUCUGUAUUUUGCUUAAUACAUGCUGGACUAUCUCAAUUGGGAAAUUUAGAUUUUUAGGACAUUUUGCCUUUAAUUAUUUUAUUCUUUUG